rnacentral:rRNA from 1 species
CCUACGGGUGGCAGCAGUGAGGAAUAUUGGUCAAUGGGCGGAAGCCUGAACCAGCCAAGUCGCGUGAGGGAAUAAGGCCCUACGGGUCGUAAACCUCUUUUGCCGGGGAGCAAGGGCCGGGACGCGUCCCGGCCCGGAGAGUACCCGGAGUAAAAGCAUCGGCUAACUCCGUGCCAGCAGCCGCGGUAAUACGGAGGAUGGGAGAGUUAUCCGGAUUAAUUGGGUUUAAAGGGUGCGUAGGCGGGCUUUGAAGUCAGCGGUAAAAAUUCGGGGUUCAACCCCGUCCGGCCGUUGAAACUGGGGGCCUUGAGUGGGCGAGAGGAAGGCGGAAUGCGUGGUGUAGCGGUGAAAUGCGUAGAGAUCACGCAGAACUCCGAUCGCGAAGGCAGCCUACUGGGGCGCAACUGACGCUCAUGCACGAAAGCGUGGGUAGCGAACAGGAUUAGAUACCCGAGUAGUC